rnacentral:rRNA from 1 species
GGAUUCCCAGAGUAGCGGCGAGCGAAACGGGAAGAGCCCAGCGCUGAAUCCUGCCACCCGGGCGGGCGGCCGGGAAAUGUAGCGUUCGGUGGGAGAGUCAAAAAUAAACGCGCGGUCAUUAGUCACGGCUGCCGGUCCAAGUUCAUCUUGAACGGGGCCGCUUACCCGCAGAGGGUGCCAGGCCCGUGGCGACGGUAGCCGGCCGCGACGGUCUCCCCACCCAGAGUCGGGUUGCUUGAGAGUGCAGCCCUAAGCGGGUGGUAAACUCCAUCUAAGGCUAAAUACCACCACGAGACCGAUAGCGAACAAGUACCGUGAG